rnacentral:tRNA from 1 species
GGGGUUGUGGCUCAGCGGUAGAGUGCUCGCCUAGCAAGUGUGAGGCCCUGGGUUCCAUCCUCAGCACUACA